CAUAACAAUAAGAAAGUAUUUUCUUUAUUAUUGCAAAUAUGGCCGCUUCAUCCAUGGCUCUCUCUUCACCAACCUUAGCUGGCAAGCCAGUGAAGCUGAGCCCAUCAAGCCAAGAAUUGGGAGCCUCAAGGUUCACCAUGAGGAAGUCUGCUACGACAAAGAAAGUAGCUUCAUCGGUUAACCAUAAAAAUUUCAAAUUGAACUAAUAUUAAUUGAAUAAAGUCAAGCUAAACUAAGUUUGACUCAACUCAUCUAGAUUUUAUAAUUAUUUUAUUUUUGUUUAUAUUUUAUUCGAAAGAGAGUAUGCAUGAUUUAUUUUUUGGUCAAUAGAUAAAAUAAUAUAACUAUCACCAAAAAUUCAUGCGAGAUCUUAGAGUUCAAGUCUAGAAUAAUAUGUUCAAUUUGACAAUAUUAAUAUUUGUCUAUUGAACUAGUACUUAACGUUCGUGAUUUAUAUCAGGUUGUUUGUUAAAUUUUGAAUCGUUUUUUCCAUAUUAUCGACAAAACCUUGAAAUUAAUCUAUAAAAACAUGAUAAAAAUAUUAAGUCAGUUAAAAUCCCUAAUUAACCUUUCAUAAAUUUUUAAUUAAAAUCGAUAUUGAACUAAUUAUUUUUUAAAAAAUUAAUAUUUUUUUAAAUUAUUUUUAAAUUGUUUCAAAGAAAUUUUGUUUAUUCUUUUCCAAAAAAAUAAAUGUUAAAAGCUUUACAAAAUAAAUAGUUUUGAUUAUAAUAUUUAAUAUUUGUUUUAAUCCACUUUCUUUUAUUGAUUAAAAUUUAAUAAAAAUAAUGUUAUUGAUUUUUUAGUUAGAUGCAUAGUUUUAAAAAAUUUAUCUGGGUAUUAGUCCGACCAGGAACUGAAGCCAUAUCGGUCUAAAAUGUGUAUCUAACCGAUUGUACCAUUGAACCGGUGAUUUAGUCGUUGGAACCGUUGCCCUCUUGAACGGUUCAAUACAAAACAAAUAAUAAUAUUCUCUUUUGGUAUUUUUCUCAACUGGACCCUUUUUUUCUAACUCUUUAUUAUUAGUAUAUUGGCCUCUUCCACCAUAAGUAAAUGCCAAAGGCUAUAUAUAUGUAUAUAUAUAUAUAUAAAUAUCACUAUCGUCCCACAGCUGGCACAGUUGGAUACUUUUCUGCUUUUUUUUAUUUAAUAAAUUACUAAAUUGAUCUUUGAUUCUAUGAAACAUACUAAAAACGUCCACAUUUAAAGUUGUAUAAAGUAACUAGUUUUGAACUCAAACCACGACUAUAUUUAUAAUCGGUUAUAAAUAAUUAAAUAUUUAAAUUAUAAUUUUGAAUCAAUUCAAAUAUAUUAAAUAUAGUUGUCUAUUUUUUAAAUUAUAAAAUAUUUUACUUUUUUCAGGAAAAAAAUUUUGAGGUCAUUUUUUAAAAAGAGUGAAAGAGUUAGUCUUAUAAGUCAAUACUUUUUCUAUGGUUAUUAUUUGUAUAAUGAGACUUAAUAUUAUUAAUAUUGUAAGAAGAUAUAUUUUAAUUUGUUAUGUGAAUUUAUUUAAAGUAUAAUAAAAUUCUUAGAAUAGUUUGUUUAUUUAAUGAAACAUUAAAUUUGACUAAAUUAUGAAACCUCAUUGAAUAUAAUGACUAUUCUUAAAUUGUCUCUAGUUAAGUUUGAGACAAGAGUAAUGUAUAAAGAUUAUUAUGUGAUUAAGCUGAUAAUCACAUCUGAUGAAUAUAAGUUAUCAAGUCUUUAUAAUUAUUAGGUGUAAUAUUUGUAUUAGAUUGAUCCACUAUAAGAACAUUACAUAAUAGUUAUAUAAGUAUCAUUAAUGAUUCUCAUGUGAUUAUAGUUCGUAAUCAUUCGAGUUAAAGUCACUACAAUCCUUAUUUAUGUAUAAUAUGACAAUCAUAAUUGUGGUUAUUGAGUUUACAAUAAAUCAUGUAGAGAGGGAUAUAAGUGAUAUAAAUAAUAUUUAUCUCAUACAUAAAAAGAGUUAUGUCUUGAGCCUCUCGAUAGAAUAAUAUAUGAAAUAUGUGUCACCAUACUAAAAAUGAAUCAAUAUAAAAUAUUUGCUACAUUAGUGAUCAAGAAGACUUGAGAAUCUAGAAAUAAAUUAUUGAACCUAACAAAAAUGCACAUUUAUUGUACAGUAAAUAGUAGCCACAAUAAAGUUAUAAUCGUAUAAUUGAUUUUCUUAUAAAUUAGGUAGUAAUGAUGCAAUGCAAUAAAUUAGGUAGUAAUGAUGCAUUGCUAUAUAUAUGUUUAUAAUAUUUAAUAUUAAUUUAAUAUUUUAUAUUAUUAUCAAUUAAGUGGGAGUCUAUAGUUUCACAUGAUAGAAUAGUUAAAUGAAAAAAUAAAAAUUUAAUAAAAUAAAAUAAAUUGGACUUAUAGCAAGUUUUGAGAGUAAGGUAAAAUAUAUGUAUAUAUAUAUUGUGUCUUCUCUAAACUUAAGCCUAUAAUUAUUUUUAUUAACCUAAGCCUGUAAUCAUUUUUACUAUAACCAUUAGAUAACAUUGAUGCAACCUUUCAUGUGGACUGAAUAUAAAUACUACCAUAAUUUUGGUGAUUUUAUCAUAUUCAAUACUUCAAUAGAUAAACACAUAAAUUUCAUGUGAAAUGUUAUGUAUGUGUAAUCUAUGACAAUAAGUAAUUUCCGCUCUUAAAAAUAAUUUUAAAAUAUAUCUCUUGAUUAUCAGACGUUAUUUACUUUAUUAAUAUUUUAAAAUAGUUCUUAAAUUUAUUGGUUAUUAUAUAAGUCCAUCCGUGGACAACAUUUUAAGACAUGGAUUUAACAAAUUUGUCAAAUCAAAAAAUGUUUAGGCAAAUCUUGUUUAACUUUCAAAGCCUAACAAACCAAUUAAUGUAUCAUAAUGAAAAGCCAAAAUUCAUAACUUAAUCAAUCUACUAGUCCAUGGCCUAUAAAACAACCUCAGUCGAUAUCACAUCCUCAAAAUGUUUGAAAUAGUCUUACCCGAUUCUUCUCUAGUAAAUGUCUAAAUGACAUGGUUCCCCUCAGCUAGACAUCAAUGAAGCUGAGAGCAUUCUUAUGAGUUUUUCUUUUAUACCUAAAGAGACACAAUAUUUUAAAAUAAGAAAACUGAAAAACAAAAUUAAAAAAAAAAAAAANNNNNNNNNNNNNNNNNNNNNNNNNNNNNNNNNNNNNNNNNNNNNNNNNNNNNNNNNNNNNNNNNNNNNNNNNNNNNNNNNNNNNNNNNNNNNNNNNNNNNNNNNNNNNNNNNNNNNNNNNNNNNNNNNNNNNNNNNNNNNNNNNNNNNNNNNNNNNNNNNNNNNNNNNNNNNNNNNNNNNNNNNNNNNNNNNNNNNNNNNNNNNNNNNNNNNNNNNNNNNNNNNNNNNNNNNNNCCUAACAAACCAAUUAAUGUAUCAUAAUGAAAAGCCAAAAUUCAUAACUUAAUCAAUCUACUAGUCCAUGGCCUAUAAAACAACCUCAGUCGAUAUCACAUCCUCAAAAUAUUUGAAAUGGUCUUACCCGAUUCUUCUCUAGUAAAUGUCUAAAUGACAUGGUUCCCCUCAGCUAUACAUCAAUGAAGCUGAGAGCAUUCUUAUGAGUUUUUCUUUUAUACCUAAAGAGACACAAUAUUUUAAAAUAAGAAAACUGAAAAACAAAAUUAAAAAAAAAAAAAAACAUAAAUGAAUUGGAGAAAAGGUUGUGCACAUUCAAAGUCAGAUUACAUAAAUUUCUCAACAAACACUUAUAAAAGAGAAAUAUGAUAGAAAAUUUAUCCUUUUAGUUUGAAUUAUAACUAGUUUCUCCUAUAUAUGUUUAAAUUGGCUUUUGCACAUAAAAUUGACAUGUGAAAUCGGAAGACAGCAUAGGAAGACUUAGUCAUGUGAAAAUCACGAGGAAAAAUGGAGUCGAAAGGAAGACUUGAUUGACACACACAAAAUAAUGUAUCAAAAAAUAUUUCGGAGAAAGAGAUAGAAACAAACACAUUAAACAAUAAAUAUUAAAUUUUUAAAUUCUAAAAAAUAAUACAUCACAUAGUUCAAAUUAAGCCAAACUGAGCCAGCUAAUGACUGCACGCGUGAUGAUGAUUUGAGUGCGUUCUUUUUGUUCAUAAAAUUGAGCACCAUUUAGAACACACCCCAAAUGCCAUUCUCACUCAUUAUAAUAAUAUUAGUAUGUAGUAUAUCUUUCUUAUGUGACUUUUUUUAUUUUUGAAAUUCACACACCACUAACUCUAAAUUUAAACACUUAGUGUUUAAGUUUUAACAUCAUUUCCUCACACUUAUUAUGUGAAGGGGGAGUAUAAUAUAAAAUGAUGAUAAUUAUGGAGAAACUAAAAAAUAAUUGUGUCGUAACAACCACAACAAAUCUAAAUCCUUAUAUAAAAAUAAAAACAAAUCUAAAUUAUUUUCAUACACAAAGUGAAAAAAAAUAUACAGAAGGAAGAAUAAUUUUUUUAUUAUAAUUAAAAAAGUUAAUUGUCGUACAACUAAUGAAAGAAAUUGCAAUACCAUAUAUUGAAUUUUAAAUAUAUUUUUAAUCAUUUUAUUUUAUUUAAAAGUAAAUAUAUUUUUAUCCUCACACUUAUUAUGUGAAGGGGGAGUAUAAUAUAAAAUGAUGAUAAUUAUGGAGAAACUAAAAAAUAAUUGUGUUGUAACAACCACAACAAAUCUAAAUACUUAUAUAAAAAUAAAAACAAAUCUAAAUUAUUUUCAUACAGAAAGUGAAAAAAAAUAUACAGAAGGAAGAAUAAUUUUUUUGUUGUUAUGAUUAAAAAAGUUAAUUUUCUUAGUGUGACAGUGAUGAAUAAGAUUUUUCAGCAUUAUUUAAUUAUGAGAAAGAGAAAAUAAGUGUUUAGUGAUGCAGUACAACUAAUGGAAGAAAUUGCAAUACCAUAUAUUGAAUUUUAAAUAUAUUUUUAAUCAUUUUAUUUUAUUUAAAAGUAAUUUUUUAUUUUUUAAAUUGAAUUUUUGAUUCAAUAUUUUACAACAUCUUAGAUUUUAUUACCUUUUGAAUUGUUAUUAUAUUGCAUGUACUUUAAUAAUGUGACAAAAACAUUAAAAUUAAAUCAACAUCAUCAAUCAAUCCAUGUUCCGGAGGGGAGCAACAAAAUCCUAAAAGUCACAAAAUAAUGGAAUUAAAAACUCAAUUUUAAUAAUAAAAAAAUAAAAGGAUUAAAAUUAAUUUUAUAUAAAAUAAAAAGAUUAAGUGUCAAAUAUAUUAUUACUAUGUAUACGUCUUGCACCGGGUAAGAAUAUUUUUCACCAUGAAAUAAAAAAUUCCACCAAAUCUAAUGGUACAACAUACACCCAAAAUAUUAUUCCUCUUCUUUUCUCACAUCUCACUUCUCUUUCCAAUAAAUAAUUGUAUAUAUGGUUAUUAACUUUUAAUGCAACACUUAUAUACAGUUAUUAAAUUUUAAUUGGUAAUUCCCUUGGGAAAAAAGAGCAAUAAAAUUUAAAAAAAUAUUAGGAUAGAAAAAAAAAACAUCAAUGAUUGAUAUAUUAAUCUAAAUAUUAAAUAUACUUUAGAAUUAAUGUAAAUUCUAUAUUAUUUUUUCUUAGAAGAAAUAAUAAAUCACACAAUAAUUAACUCACACAAUGCGAUAUUUUAAGUUCGAACUCGGAACAAAACAUCUAAUCUAACAAUGUGAAUCUUGAAAUAUUAUUAUAUAAAAAUGGAGAUAAAUUUUGAUCAUUUUUAAAUAAAUUUGUCGACUUAUUUAUAGAAUCAUUGAUUAGUUUGAUGUCAUAAUCGACUGGCUUAUAGAAAAUGACUACUUCAGAAACCCAAAAUGAUAGAAUUAGAAGACUUGGGUUAGGCUAACAUACCUAAACUUAGAGUACUUUACGCGAAUUCGAAAUACCGUGUAACUACAUGUAUGAAAUACCGUGUCAAUUCUUUAGUAUUACAUCAACAUCUUCACCAAUUUCCUUUUAAGAAAAAAUCUAACUUCCACGUUGUUCUCUAAUGUCAAUAAAUUAACGUAUAAUUUUGUUGGAUUAAAAUAUCAGUCUUUAAUAAACAAGUUUUUAUUAGUAACUUAUUUCUAAUAUUAUUUCAAGUAGCGUUUGAGUUUAUAACUUAUAGUUUUUUAUAUUUUUUUAUAGUCUCUCACUUACUAGUUUACAUCGCUUCACAUAUAUCUUUUCUAUGUGAAGAAAAUUAUACUCAAUUUCUUUAAUUCCUUCCCAAAGUUACUCAAAAAAAUAAAAUAUUUUUUUUUUAUGUUAUUCAUCUUACAAUAAUUUGAUUAAGGUAUGUAUUGUCAUAUUUAUUAUUAUUAAUUUAUUCAUAUUUUAAUUUAUUAUUGUGAUAAAGUUAAAUUCAUCUUUUAUGGCAAAUUAUAAACAUUAAAUGGAUUGCAUUGGAUAUCGCCAUCGUUGAGGUAUCUUCUUCCAAGUCGAAUUCAAAUAAAACAGAGAAUUGGAAAAUAAAACGACACGAAAGCGACAACUUGGACGAAUAAAAGCAUAACUAAUUAAAAAAACUUAAAAUUAGGGUUUUAUAUAUGUGAAAUAUGAAGAAUGAUGUUAUGGCAAAAAUGAGAAUAUGGGAAGAAGAAAGCAAAUGAAAUAAAGUAAAGUAGAAAAAUUGAUUAAAAAAAAGAAAAAUGGAGUAAAACAAUACCUAGAAAAUAUUGGAUAAAAAUAUCAUAUUAUUUGUCAUUUUAAAUUAAAUAAUAUGCCCUUUUAUGUCAUUUUAUAUUAGGUGUCUUUGUUUGAACUUAAAUAAAAAUAAUUUUUAGCUUAUAAAAUUUAGAGAUUUGUUUAAAAAUGAUUUUUUUGAAUAUCUGUUUGUUUACUAUCAUUAAAAUGAUUUUUAAUUUGUUUGUAUAUAAUUUUAUAAAAGUUAUUUUUACACUACAAGAUUACUAUAAUGGACACGACUUUUCUAAAUACAUGAAUUUAUCUAUUUCUAUGUGUCAUGUCUCUCUAUCUCUUCCUUUUAUCUACUACCCCUACCUCUAUGUCAUGAUUUUUCAGUUGGGUGCGAUCAUAAGCAUAAUUAGGUAACUUUUGAAACUUCUCAGUAAUAUGUUUCCAUCCUUCUUUAGUGAAGUAAGUGUCUAACCUAUUACCAACCUCUAUUUCUUCUAUGCAAAAUUUUAGAAAUGGUUCGACUUUACUAUCAUCCCAUCUUGCAACGAUUCUUUUAUCACUCUCAGAACUUUUCACAUAUUUUUUAGUUGUCAUUUUAAUUGAUAUUUAAGUCAGCAAAAAAGUUAAAUCACAUGUUUAAAACAAUUCAUAAAAUAAUCUACUAUUAACCAAAUUUCCAAAUCAUAAACAUGAUAAACAUGUUGUCAUAGUUUGAUUAUCCAUAAUCACUAAGGCAUUAGUUAGUAUGUGGUAUAAUUUUUGCUAUGCUAUGUGUCAAUAUCUAAAGUAUUUGUUGUGAAAUUUAAGAACAAUUGAAAUGUUUCUAAUUGGACACUUUAAAAUUUAUUAGUUUAAUCUAUUUCUUAGACACAUUUCAAAAUUGAUUAAUGUAUUAUCAAAUAACCAUAAAAAAACAAUAAAAUCUAAUUUAUUUAAUUUAUAGCAGGAGACAAAUGUGAGAAGCUGAUAUUUUUAGCUAUAAUUUUUUUAACAACAUGAUAUUUCAAAAAUCUAAAACAACAACAAUCAAACAUUAAAAAAAUUAUUUUUAGUUUGAAAAAAUAAUUUUUUUAUGAAAAAACAACCAAUUAUUAAAUUUACCAAACACUUUAAUUUCAAAUAAUUAGCUUCAACUGUGAGUCAUCAGUUAUCAACCAUCAACUAACUUAUAACUUAAAUUUAUCAAACAGAUUCUUAAUAUAAGAAUUAAAAUUAAAAAUUAAGUCAUUAAAUUCUAAUUCAAUUAACAAAUACUAAUAUUAUCAGGUGAACGAUUUGUCUCAAAUUCAAAUAUGAAAUUUUGCUAUAUAAAUUGAUUAUAAUGGUAUUUAUCAUAUUUUUUAAAACAAAACAAAUAAUUAAAAAUAAAAAAUAAAGACCCAAACUGCUGAUUUAAAUCAAUGCUACGGUGCAUAAGGGCUAUAAGUCUUGCAUCGUGCAGCAAGACCUUUCAUUACCAAUAGGUUAAGAAGUUCUACUAGUUUAAUGGUGGACCUCCACACAGCAGAUUUUGCUCCCUCUCUCAAUCGCUUCAGAACAAGAAAACACUGUUUUCUUUAUCUCUCAUUUCCCUUCCUCUCUCUACUCUACUAUUUUGUUCAAUUUUUCGUAUCACUUUUCUACUAUUUUUAUUAACGUCGUCUCAUUUAUCUUAUUCUAGUUGGUUUUGGGGAUGUUGUUCACUCAUCCACUUAACCAAAGUCAGCUACCAGAUUUAUAAGACUUCUCUUAUAUAAAAUAUUAAGUCAGUUAAAUCAAAAUUUUUAAAGUCUUUCAAGGUCUUAUAAUUAACCAAAAUUAUUUCGGUUGACGCACAGGUAAGUAAACAAAAAUGAUCCAAAAGAGAAGUCUUAAAAAGAACCAAUCGAUAAAUUUAAAGUCUUUUUUAAAAAUAAUUAGUUUAAUAUCGAUUUUAAUUAAAAAUUUAUGAAAGGUUAAUUAGGGAUUUUAACUGACUUAAUAUUUUUAUCAUGUUUCUAUUAUAUCAUCCACUUAAAAGUCGAUAAUAUAUAAAAAUAUUUUUUUAUUAUUUAUAUAAUUAUAAUAACUAAAUAUUAUUUAUAAAAAAUAUCAGUAAAAUAAAUAUAACUUUUUAAAAUUUUAAUUAUUCAUAACAGUGAAUAUCGAAUAUUUUUAUAAUAAAAUGUAAAAAUUAAUAUAAAAUUAAUAAAUAGCAAAAUAUUGUUUUUUUAUUACAAAAUGACUUUUUCUAAAAUAUAAAAAUAUGAAAUAAUUAUUUAAUUCAUAAAAAGAUCGUUAAUUUAUUAGUUUAUAAAGAAAAUGUACUAAUAUAAUUUAUAGAUUUUUAAAAAACUAAUCCACUUUUUAAAAGAACUAUAAACAUUAAAAUAUAUAUAUAUAUAAAACUCAAGAUUUUUUAAUGUGCUUUUUUAUAGGAUAAUUUAAAUAAAAAAAAAUAACUGUAUUAAUUAUUUACUUACCAACUCACAUGUAAUUAUGUUACAUCUUGCUACAAUUAUCUCUCUUGUAAAACAAUAUAAAUUGACUUGUCAACAAAUUUAAUAUUACUAAUAUUUUUAAUUCUUGAAAUUAAACCUUUUGAAAUCUUAUAUCAAGUGAUAGGAGUAUAUAUUAUGAACAUCACUGAUGAAGUGUAGAAUGUAAAGAAGAAAUUGUAGUGAGAAGGAUUUGAAAAAGACUUCUGAAAAACGAUGUCUACCUUUAACAGUUUGAGGAAAUACCCAAUACUUAUAUUUUGUUGUGAUGAAAAAAACCCAAUAUUUAUCUGAUAUGAACUUUCCAGCAACAUUUUAGCUACUCAAAAAAGGACCAACUUAGUGAACUGAUAUAAGGCCCAAGCUUUUUUUUUAAGAAAGCCCACUGUUCAAACAACUGUGGAUAAGCUGGCCCAUUUUGGACCUGACCUAGGCCCAAAAAGCUUUAACGUUUUAAUUACCAACACAAAUGCCACUUUUAUCCUCAUAAAGCAGUUAUUAAAAGUUAAUUAAAAAAGAAAAGUACAUUGAGAGCAUAUGGUAACAAGCUUUUUUUUUUACUCGUGGUAACAAGCUUUAAUUAACAUAUUAUUUUGUAGAAUAGAUAGGCUAUUUCUAUACACAAUUACAAAUUCUUAGUCGAAAUAUUUUACGGUGCUACAUUUUUGUAACUAAAAUAUGAAUUUGAGAUUACUUAUUAAAUUAGAAGAGAGUUCUCAUAUCAUCCCUAAUUAAUGCCAAAGUUUUUCAACAACUGCAUAGACCAUAGUUAUGAAUUAGAAAACUAAACACAAAUUUGAGCUGAAAUCAUAAAAACGAAAGCAAUACCCUCACAUAAUGUACAUAUUUUUCACAUUAACUAUAGAUUAUUGUGUAAAUUUCUUAUCAUUAGACUUCUAAUUAAGAAAAAAAUAACAAGUGGCCUCAAGUUUCAACUUUUUGUUGUUGAAAGGUUUCAAUUUUGUUUUCUAUAGACUAGUAUUGUAAAUUCCUCUCACACUUUUUAUUUUUUUAAGGAAUCCAACUUUCAACAUGAUAAUAAUAUCAAUUGAGGGAAUAUUUUUCCAUUUGAAGACGUGUGUAGAUCAAGAUGAAAUAAUGAAAGGGACAGCAUGGCAACGUUGUAAGAACGGUAGGAAAUUUUGAUGAUAUAAGGGAAAGAAACAUACAUUAUCACUAAAAUUUCCCAUGGUUUUGGUGCCACAUGUUUUUCUCAUUGCCACUGGUUUUCUUUAGAUACGUAGAGGGCAAUUAACCAAUGUUCCCAAUAGUUUUUUGUUUUACAUAUUUAUUUUUUAAAAAAAGAAAUUUGUUUAUAAUUACGACAUACAAUGUUUAACUUAUUUAUUAAUUAAUAUUUAUUGAUUGUGUAUAUGAUUGUCAACUUCAAAUAUAAGAUAUAAUGUUUAACUUAUCUAUCAAUUAAUAUUUAUUGAGAUUGUGAAAUGUUCGUCAAUGACAAGAAACGUAAUCUACUAAACAUAAUAAUAGCCGCAUUUUGUCUUUCUCUACUCUACUUGUAUUUUGUGAGUGAUAAAUAAAAUAUUAAAAAUGAAAUGAAAAAUACGUGUAUGUCACAGAUAACAGACUGGACAACCAUUGAACCUUACCUAUCUAGACAGCACACCACAUGUAGAGACAAUUUUUUGGGCUCAUUGCAAUAAAAUUUAAUUACAUGUUCUUUAAUGAUUGCUCAGUGCUCGUACACCCAAUUAUUUAUUCAAAACAGGUAAAAAGUACUAUUGAAAAUACGGUUUUAAUAGUGUAUUUAACUAAAAUUUUCACUCUUUGAAAGAAAAACUUCAAUAAAUUCCAGUGUUUUUAGAGAGCGGUGAAGAUCUUCCUUCUUUAAUAUAUUGAUUUGAACGUCAGCCAUAAAUGAAACAAGGCCAAUUUGGACCUUCGGAUUGGUCACUUUGUUGUGUCAUAAUGUCAUUCUAGUGGCUAUAAAAUCAAGGAAAAUAAGGAUAUUAUGCUCCAUACCUUACCUCUAUUUUAAUAUUUUUAAAUAAAUGUUUAAGUAAAUGAUUAGACUUAAAUGAUUAAUAAGUAAUUAAUUAUUACUUUUUAUUAUAUUAUAGUGAGAAGUUAGAAUUCGUGAUCUUUUAAAUUACUUUAUUAUAUUUAUCUUUUAAUUAAAUUUUAAAUUAUCAUAUUAUUUAUAUAAAAAUCAGAAAAUUAAGGCAAAAUAUUUUUGACCGCAAGUCAAGUCUAGGAAAAAUCAAAUUCAGUAAUGUGGUCCACAACUAAAGAUUUUUUAAACAAAAUUGAUUAUUUAAGUUUAUAACAAAUAAAAAUUCAGAAUUUAUCAUUUGGUUUGUUUAUUGGAAUUAAUUUUAUAACAAAUAAAAUAUUUUAUUCUAAUUUUUCUAAAAUGACUUACUAUGAACUAAAAUAAAUAAUACACACAUUAUACAUUAAUCAAUUUGAAUAGGAACAUAUUUUAUAGAAAUUGGAACACAAGAUCAAUGACAAAAGUGUAUAUUUAAUGCAUAUACAUAUAUAUAUAAUUGUUUUUUAAGGAAUAUGUGUUAUAAAUGUAACUUUUUUUUCUACAAAACUAAAAUCAUUGCAUUUUAUCAAUAAUUAAUGAAGCAAUACAAGACAUUAAUUAAGAUGUUCAAAAUAUGGUAAUUUGUGCUACAUAUGGUGGUCUUUCGAACAAAUUUAACCAGAAAUUUUUAAUGACUAUGAAUAAUAGAUCCACUAUGACCAACAAUUUAAUUGACAAUAUUUAAUAAAGUCUCUCAUUUUUCAAUUAUAAUAUGUUGAUAUUAUAGACUCGAAUUCAAUAUUUUUUUAUUUUAUUUAUAUCAAAAUAAAUUGCAAAAUAAUUACCUGAUUAAUUAUGUUGAUAUUUUAAGUUAAUCACAUAUUAUUUAAAAUACUCUAAAAUAUUGUUAAAAAAAAGUAUAAAAUAUUUGAGUGAUUUUACUAAAAUCCAAUAAAAUAAUUCUAAGAAAUCAUCUGUUGUCUCAUUAAAAAUUUUAUUAUGAAAAUUUAGAUGGAUAAAAUCAUGUCAAAAAAUAAAUAAAUAAAUAAACAUCUAUGUAAAGAAAAUUAGCAAAAUCUAUGUUUAGGAUGAUUAAUGAUGUUUCUAUUAAAAACAUGUAAAAUAUUAGAAAGAAAUAUUUGCACCAAUAAAUUUUAGCAAUCUGAAACUUCAAAUUAAUAAUCGUGUCAGCACAUUAAUCAUUUUCAUUAAAAAUAUAAUAGAUAAUAAAUCUCAUCUUUUUAACCUUAAUAUGUUUUCUCUAAAAAACACCUCAUUUGUCUCACUUGUCCACUUAUACUCGCACACACACUCAUCUCACACACCAUAUAAAUAGAUCAAAACAUGUGGACAAGUAUAACUCCUGUUCUUUGCCUGCAUAGUUCACUUUUAGUAUGGCAUUGGUUAUAGCUGUGUUAUCUAUUUUCAGAAUGCAGAAAUUAGCUCAGGAACAAAAUGAAAAGAUUGAAAAAGUUAAUCGUGAAAGGAAAUAUCAUCAGGUGGAUAUGACUCCUUCCUUGUCCUCCCUUGUCUCUGUUGUUUGUUCAAAUCCUUUUCAAGUUUACUUAGAGUAACUUUUUUAACUAUUUCAGCAAAAUACUGCAUAUGAGCUUAAUGCUUUGUCAAUGCAAUGGAAGGAGCUCUGUCAGAAAAAUAUAGGCAUCAGUGCUGCGUGUGCUUCUGUUGAAAUUUGCCUACAUGAACUGAGAAGAGAAGCUGCAGAAAGGUGAGUAAGCUGUGUAGGUUUUGUUUUUCUUGGCUGAUUUCAUCUAUUUUUGGUGUUAAAUUAGUUUUCUGUUCUCCUUUUUUUCUCUCUCCAGAGGCUGGAACUUGGAUGCUAUCACUGAAAAUGGCCAAUUAAAUCAUUCCGAGUCAUGAGAUUCUUAUGUGCUUACGUAGUUUUGUACCCGUAGUUCUGACUUUAAUUGCUAUUCUAUAUAUUAAAUAAUAUUUAGUUUAUUAUAUCAUGAAAGUGUUUCCCAUUUGCGCACCAAAGAUAAACUUGAAAGAAAAAAGUGACUUGGUUAUUUUGGUUUACUUAUAUACCAUUUAUAUAUAUAUUUUAUAUGAUUUUGGCUUAUUUAUUAAAAUAACAUUUGGACGGUGAAAAUUUCAUUUUUGGUUUGUUACAUUAGUACAUGUCGAUAUUUGAAUAACCAAAUUCUUUAAUUAACAUUUUUUUUCCUGAAGAGCUUUUUCUUUAAAUGUACUACAAACAAGCCUUAUAAGAUAAGAAAAAAAUAAAGUCCAAGUUCACUGUAAAAGUCCAUAGGCUAUAUAUUAAUAGCUAACUAAAAGGAAAAAAGAGCAAGAUACAAACAAACAAAUAUUAAAAUCUCGUUCUAAAAAAUAUUAUAAAAUCAUUUGAAUUGUAGUUUUUCUUUCUCUUUUAUGAUUUUACAUUCUUGGUCCUCAUCAGUUUACAUUGCAUUUGGUUGGCGUGCAUUUGAAAAUCUCGCAAUUACAUAAUCCUUAAGCAAGACAGUGACGAUAACCAUUUGCAAAUUCUCGACGAUGUAAACUCUUCUCUUGGAUUUGAAUCAAGUCUAACGUGAAAAAGUUUCAUUGCACUUUUGAGUGUGGUGGUCAUAACAAUUGUUUUGUUUAAAUCUUCUUGUUUGUUGAUUUCAUCUCUAUUUUUGAUUUUGUGUGAGUCUAGUCUAUUUUUGGUUGUGUUUUGUGGUUGUUAAUUUUUUGUGCUGAGAUUAAUGUUUACUAAAUAUAUGGUUUUUGGCUUUUUAUUUCAUUUUUAAAUAAUAACAUAUGGAAAAUAAUUUAAAUUAUAUAUAUUUAAGAUUAAAAAAAUAUUUUUGUUUUAUUUUCAUUUUUAUUUUGACGUACAAAGCUGCUACUCCUUUGUAACAAAAUACAAAGAAAAAAAAUACAUGUAUCUAAACUAACUAUAAUACAUGUAUUUUUUAUUUAUAUUUUAUUAAAGAUUGUUUUUAAUAUCUAUUUCUAUUUUCAACAUAUUUGUACAAAAAACACCAAAAACAAGAAAAUGAUUUUAUAGUUCAAAGUCGAAAAGAAAAUGUUUUUUUAGUAAGCGAUUUUAUGGUCGUUAGGUAUUGCCAUUUAAAGAUGAAAAAAAAAAACUAGAUGACUAUUAAGAAUAUGGCUCUAGAAUCAUACUCUAUCUCUUUUAUUUUUUAUGAAUCUCACUUAAUAAAUUAUAUUAUAAUAAAUAAAAGUUGUAAAAUAAAAUUUAUUGAAUAAAUUUUGUUGAGACACUGAGUUAAAAAAAUUGAGUAUUUAUUAAAUAUUAUAAAAUUAUAAAUGAAUAUACAUUAGGCAUUAAAGUUGUACCAUCAGCAUAAAUUUAGAAGGAUAAGAAAAUUAAAAAAGAGUACAAUCUACAAUGUCUAAUUGAAUUUUGAGAUGGGAAGAAUAGUCAUACAGUUCAAGUAGAGCCAAUUUAUAUUAAAAUUAAUGUAGAUUCCAAACUUGUCAAUGGUGGUUUCUGUUAUUUUAUCUUGACAGUUCGUAUCUCUGUUUGGUCUUGUAUGGGGUCCAUUAUUGUCAUUUCAAUGAAUUAUGCUUUAUGGGUGUCUCAAUUCUUUAAAACCACAUCUAUUUUUGCUUUAUAUAUCUACGGUUGUUGUUGCUCUCAAACCGUGUCAAUAAUACCAAAUUCUCUAUCUCUCUCUCAAAUCUUAGAUCGAAUUGAUGUUUAGAAUGUUGAAAAUGGGUUUGGAGAUUGAAUAUGCAAAAUUUUAUAGGGUCCUACCUGAAAUUAUGUCAAAUUAUUAGAUAUAUACGUUCUUUGUAAUAAAAAUGAAUUCAUAUUAAUAUAGUUAUAAUGAAAUUAAUUAUAUAUUUAUCUAUUAAUCUGAAUAUGUAGUAGUAACUUAAUUUCAACAUUAACAACAACAUCAAUGCACAUAUUAAUAUUUAAAUAUCAUGCUGCUUGCAUAUUUUGCGUCAAAAUUAUAAAUAUUUUUUUGACUAAAAUGCAUUUAUGGUCCUCUAAAUUUUAAAAAUUCGGCAAUUUUGUCCUCUCUAAUAUUUUAACACCUUAACUUUAGUCUAUUUUACAAAUAGUUGAUUCUCCUUAAUUUUGACUUGGUCAACGCUAAACUAACCCUAGUCUGUUUUAUAUAAUUUUCUCAAAUCAUUUAAUUUUUUUUAAAAAAACUCCAACUCAUUUUUAAAACUUUUAAAAAAAAUUGUCAUCUCAUUUUUUUUAAUAUCGUCACUUAAUUUUUAUUUAUUUAUUUAUUUUAAAAAAAAUUAUUAAGUGUUCUAUUUUGUUGGCAAUUUUUUUUUAAAUAUUAAAGACUUAAAUGUAAUUUUAAUAUUUUAUCUUUUACUUAAUAUUUAUUUUGGGGUUUUAUAGUUUUUAAUUUAUUUUGAUCCAUUAUCAUUUAUUUUAAUUCUUUAUCUUUUACUUAAUAAUCGUUUCAGUCUUUUAUCUUUCGUAAACUUAAACAAGUUUGUCAUUUUUAAAGACUAAAAUGAAUAUUACGUAAAAGAUAAAGGACAAAAAAGGAGAUAAAAUUACACGAAUAAAAAAGAUAAAUGACCAAAAUAAAUAUUAGAUAAAAGAUAAAUGGCUAAAAUUAUAUUUUAGCCAAAUUUAAAAAAUGAAGUGACAAUAUUAAUAAAAAUGAGUUGACAAUUUUUUUUAAAUAAAACAAAUAAGGUGUAUAUAUCACAUAAUCAUAAAUAUAUAUUCCUAAUGCUAGAUGUGGAGAGAAUAUUUUUUUCUAAAUUUUUUAUUUUUUAUCGAGAAAUAAUUUUUUUUUUAAUUUUUUUCUUAAAAUUCACCGAUAAAAAGGUUUCAAUUUUUUUCUGAUAAAAAAUGGUUUACAAUGUUUUUUAAUAUUUUUUAAUUUGAAAAAAAAAAUCGAGAACUUUUUUGAGAAAUAAAUAAUUAAAUUAUUGUUCGAGAAAAAUAAAUUUUAAAAAAUUAAAAAAAAAUCUAAAAUAUUAACAAAAUAUUGGUGGUCGAUAAAUUCCCUGAACUAUUUGUCAUAAAUCCAAUAAAAUAAUAGAUCAAAGCUUUAAAAAAAUUAUUUUAAUAAAAACUUUAAUAUUAAGAGAUUAAUAAAAAAAAUUAAAUGAAUUAUUAGAAUUUAGGGUUUUUUGACAGGUGUACAGUUAGUUGGACAUGGUUGAUAAAUUAAUUUAUUGUACUUUUUUAUCUAUAUUUACACCGUACUUGUGUAAGUUAUUGAAUAUGGGGAAGCUUACUGAAUUGAUAUGGCACAAGAUCCUCCCCCAGGAGCUGUCUAUAUAUUUCCCAUCUUCCAUUAUCAUAUAUAUUGUGACAAUCUCAGUUUGCUUCCAAUCCAAUCCUCGAUCUACUCAAUAACCAAAUACUUUGAGCUACAUCUCUACUUUAUUAGUGAGAAAAUCCAAAACAAAGAGUUACUUGUUCGCCACAUUUGUUAUCUAGAUCAAAUUGCAAAUGUGUUUACUAAUUUCCUUCAAUAUCGCAACAAACUCAUACUCCGUUACCCUAUUGUAAUCAAUAUAAUUCUUUCAAAAUCACAUGAAUAUUGGUCACUUUAGUUUUUCUUUCAUCUUGUGAAGAAAUCAUAUCAUUAUCACGUCUGCAGGUGAAAAAAUGUUUGGUAUUCAAAUGCAAUAAAUGUAUAUAUGCAUACGAUUCUUUUUCUAACACGGUUCAAACCAUUGAGAAACCAAAAGUAAAUUAUAUUACAAGUGCUUUAGAGCCUAUAAUAAUAUUUUAAUAAAAUUAUUAGAUUUUAUUAAAAAAUAUAUUUUUUAAAUACUUUAAAUUAAAAAAUUAUUUAUUAAGUUAAAAUCAUCAAUUUGAUAUAAUAAUUGUUUUUAAUUGUUAAUUAAAGCAAUAUUAUGUUAAUAUUUGUUGAAACAAUAUUACUUUUAGAUAAAAUUUUAUUAGUUUUGGAUUUCAAAAUAUCAUAAUAUUGAAAUCUUUUUAUUAAGUACAAAAGAGAGUUAAUUGAGUUUGAUGUAUAGGGUUAGAGUAAUCAUUCUACUUUUAUUAUUAUUUUAUUUCUUAAUCGUAAAAGAAAGAUUGAAGACAAUAUAUUGUUAUAGAGGUUUUUGUAGUUUAGGAUGGUUUGAAAUUCAAAUGAAGGCUGAUGAUCGCAGUGAUUAGUACUUUUUAGUCGAUAUAAUUUUAAUGUAUAUAUAGUGUUGUUUUUAACACCACAUAUAUAAAUAAUCUAUUACUCCAUCUAAUUUUUGUCUUUAGUCAAAAUUUUAAUCCCAAAAUUGAUGAUGUGUCCUAUUUUUAGUGAUGUAUUACUUUUUUCAAUAAUGUGUCAAAUAAAUUAAUGGUGUGGAGCCAUCCGUAUAGACUAAUUAUAUUAUUUCAUUAUUCUAAUUUAAAACACAUUACAAAAUUUCCAGGAAAAAAAACACAUGACAAGUUUACAACACUUUUUUCAAAACAUUUAAUUAUGAAUCACAUAUCACAAAAUAACAUCUAUUAUCAAUUUAAGAAAAGUAAACACUAAUUAAAAUAUAUUAUUAUUCUAAUUAAUUAUAUUAUUAGAUCAUUAAUGGGGGAUACAAAAAAUUGUCCUGUUUUAAAUUUUAAAAUCUAAUUUAUUGCUACUAUAGUUACAUAAUCAUCAUUUAUAUAAUUAACUAUCUCCUAAUUGACUAAUAAAAAACUCCUCUAAUUAAAAAAAAAACAUAUAUUUUUAUUUCAAAAAGUAUUCUAUAUUAUUUUAUUUCAAAAUAUGUAUUUUAUUUUAAAAAGUAUUCUAUUGUAUGGAACCACUAAAAAUAUUAACGGUAUUUAUUUUUGGUACAUAAAAACAAAUAUUUUAUUUGUAAAAAUAAAAACUUUAUUUUUCUUCUUGACUAAAAAAAUUACAUUAUUUUCCUAAUUAAUUUUAUUAGUGUAUCAUUAAUGGAAGCACAAAAGUAAUUGUCAUGUUUUAAAUUUUAAAUUGUAUUUAAUUACUACAAUAGUUAAGCAACCCUCAUUUAUAUAACUAACUAUUAUCUAAUUGACUAAAAAAAACUCCUCUAAUUCAAAAAAACAUAUAUUUUUUAAUUCAAAAAAUAUAUUUUAAUUUAAAAAGUAUUCUAUUGUAUGAAACCACUAGAAACAUUAACGGUAUUUAUUUUUGGUACAAGAGAACAGAUAUUUUAUAUGUAAAAAUUAAAACUCUAUUUGUCUUCUUGAAUAAACAUUAAAUAGUACUACAACAUAAAAAAUAUUAAAUUAUAUUUAAUUUACCUACGGAUUACAUAAGUUAUUUAUUCUUGAAAAUAAUUUAAAAUUUUAUUUUAGUCCUUAUAAAAAAAAUGUACAUUUUUCAUUUCUUAUUUAUCAUUGAUACAAAAGAUAUGAGACAACUAUUAAAAUAAUGCAUAAUAAAUAUUUAUAAUUGAUGUUUAAAAAAUAUAAUAUGUGCAACGAGUAAUGGAAGACACAUAUUUGUCAUUGAUAUAUAAAAAAACAUAUGACAAAUAUAUGUCAUUGAUGAAUAUUUAUAAAUCAUGUAUAAAAAACACCGAACAAAUAUUUCUUAAGAUAUAUAUAUAUAUACACAAAUAAUGGAAUAAAUAAUUUUUUGAUACAUAAAUAAAAAUACGAGACAAAUAUUUGUCACUAAUAUUUAUUAAUAAACAAAAUUAUAAUUCUUAAAUAUGCAUGUUACCAUAAUUUUUAAACGUAUCAAAAUUAUAGAAUUGUCGAGUGUGUUUUUACUAAUAAAUGUGCUUAUAGUAGUAAUAAGAAUGUUAUAUAUCAAAAUUACAAAAUUCUAGAGCAUGUUUAUACUAGUAAUAAUAGAGACUAGACUGAGUAACAAAACACAAAUUUAAUAAUUAAAAUUAUUAACGAAAGAAAGAUUCGAAAAUCCAAAAAUAUUUUUGUAAUUUUCAUAUAGUUUUAAGGACUAUUCUGACAAUGUCUUAACACACUUGAAUACUAAAAUGUGUUUGUUUAUAUUUUCUUUUAAAUGAUUCCACUAGUGUAAAAUGAACAUAAAAAAUUAGAGAUAUUACAUUGAUUUUAUUAAAAACAGGUGUAAAAAGUUCACCUUUUGGCAAAUUUGUAAUUAAUUGAUUUUUUUUGUAUAAGACAUGAAACAUUUGAUACAUUUUAACAAAAAUUAGGUGUAAAAAGUAUAUAAGGUGACAAUUUUAUAAAUAAUUGAAAAGUUUCUUAUAAAGAGUAUAACUUAAAAAUAAAAAUAAAAAUAAAAAACUCUUUUAAUUAAGGAUAUAAUACCUAUUUUUGUAGAAAACAAGUGCCAUAUGUUAGCACAUGUGACACCUUAUUAUUUAAAAAGUAGGUGUUACAUAGAAAUUUUUUAAGUAAUUAUGUUUAAUUAAAUACUUUAAGUUUAUUUAUUUUUUAAUUUAUUACACAACGUUUAUAUAAAAAAUGCAUCAAAUAUGCUGAUACAUUAGAACUUCGACACCUAUUCUUUAUAUAAACCGGUGUUAAAAAGUUGUUUAGCCUAUUUAAGUGCUAUCAAAAUAAAAAGAGAAUAAUGUUUUUCUGUUAAACUGUGAUGUUUUCCUAUCAUCAAAUUAGUUCAAUGUUUAGGUGAUGAUGAUGUAAUUAAAAUGUACCAUUAGUUCUUUUUUAGAGGGAGUGUCAAUGAUCCCAAAUGACAUAACUUGAAACAAGUAUUUUUAUAUUGUUAAACUUAGCAAAAUUUCUCACUGUGAUGAUUAUAGAUAUGAUUUAUCAUCUAUAGAGCAUAAUAUUGUCGGAUAAAGCACUACACAGAUCAUGGUGUUGUCUAUGGUUGAAGAUUUAUGCACCUGUUAAUGAUUAUGGGAUGACAGCAUAUUCUAACUAAGGAUGCUACAGAUCUACCGUUCCUCUUAGGAGAAGUGUCAUUCUCAGAGGAUGCUUCCAGUAUUUGAUUGGGUCCCAAGAAUAUUCUGUUGGCUUAUGAACUUCUUCGAUUGUUUAUUUCUUUUUGCAGGUUGGAUUUGGAAAGAUCAGAUGUAGAAUCCCACAGCUGUUGGUGUGAUUUAAGAUUUCAAGAAAUGACCUGCUUUUGUCAUGAUCAACCAUGCCGAACUAUAUCGUGCUUCUUUUACUGGUUGAUUGAUGUAUGUUGGAUGUUAUUUUAAAUAUACUGUUCAUCUUGUUUAAUUAAAGGUGUCACAUUUUACUAUGUUGGGUAUUGAUAUUAAUUUUUAAAAUCUGGUGGAAUCUGAAUAAUUUUAGUUUUUCUGGUCCUUCAGAAAUGUUGGUUUCUAUUAACCAGUCUCCUUAUUAUAUAUAUGUAAAACUUUUUUGGGCCAAGGGUAGAAGUGAUGUGUAAUCUGAACCAUCUAUUGAUGUUUUAGUUUAUGUCGUCUUGUUAGUCUCUAUUGCAUCUAGAUUAUAUUAUAUACCCUCCAGGGAGUUUUCGUAGUAUGAUCAUGUUUAGUUGAGAGCCACAUUCUUUAUGUGGCCCACCAUAGGUUCCAUUUCAAUUACUCAUACUUUGUGAUACGGUGGGCAUGUUAUAUCCCAAAACAAAUGCAGGUUACAUUCACAUUGAAAUCUAUUGGAGCUUUGAGAUACAGUUUUGCCGGGUUGAUUUUCUCUUGUAUAAAAAUGAAGGUAUGCAGUCAGAUUCUGAUGCUCUAUGGUUCACAGAGCAUAUCUUUUUGUUUUUCCCCAAUAAGUGUUGAGAGCAAUGAGAGCUUCUUAAUUUUGUACUAUGUUUGAGUGUUCGCAUUAAGUACUGUUUGCCAAUAUUUUUACAAUCAUCAUCUGGUGUCUUAUAUUGUCCUGCAUUUUUUUUCGUUUUUCCUUUUUUUUUCCUUUUUUUUUUUUUCCUUUUCUCCCAAGCAAUUGUCAUGGUUAGGUAAAGCUUCUAGAUAAGGUCAACUGAACCUGGAUGUUGCUGCAAUGAGUUACACCAUGUAGCGAUUGAGCAAUUGGCUGACUUACAGCUUAUUCCUAAGUUAAUGCUGAAUUACAAAUGAUUUCAACAGGUAAUUCUCCGUGAAACUAUUGGUUGUUCCGCCAUAUGUGUAGGUUCUUCAGUAACAUUUGUAUGUAUGCUUCAUUUAGUUUUUUCAUUUUCAUGUUCACAGUGAUGGUUCCAUAUUUCACUUAUUGCAGUUCUAUGCACUUUGACUGGUUUUCAGUCAUCUUGGUGUUGUGAGUUUUUGUCGUGUUAAUUGAUAUGAUUGCGGUUUUAAAAUGUACAAUUGUUGCUAAUAAGUUUAGCUCUUUUAAAGUGAACAAUUUGCUUUAGAGGAUAAGGUGGUCUCCUUUUCAACCAUAGAUAAAUAAAUCAACAAAUGAUAUUGUGUAUGCAUAACAAAUAAUGCUCAAUUAGGAAUAUCAAAAGUUGUGUUUUUUAUCUUCUCAAUAACGAUUGACAUGUCUUACUUUAUCCUCUAAAGCGAAAACCCACUUUAGAGGAGCCUAGUGAGAGAUGCCGGAUAACUUUAGGAUUUUUCCUUUCUCAAGAACAUGAGACAUUAUUUUGGUGAUUGUGAGUCACAUUUGAAGGUUUUCCCCUUUUCUUUUGGUCUUUUUUUUUCCCUCUCACUCUUCCCUCCCCUUCUUUCCCCGAUUUAACUUUUUCUGGUUAGGUUAAGCAAUGGAUAUGAUGAUCUUAUGAGCAGCUGCAAAAUGUCUUCACCAGAUGGUUCUGUGAAGUUUGUUUUUAGAAGUUCUUUGUAUUAUAUUUUCCCUAUUUUUUAGGGUUAAAUGUCCUAAUAUAAUCUGUUCUCUCUCCACAAACUGGUCUGGUCACUGACCGCAUCCCCGAUAAGUUGGACCUUAUAUUAGGGUAUUCGGCUUUGCAUAUAGUAUAUAAUAUAUGCAAAGCCCGAUAAGUGUUUGUUCUGCAUAUAGUAUAAUAAUAUAAUAAAAAUAAAAUAACAAGGUUAGUUUGUUCUUAGUUCUGCAUAGUACUAAAACAAAAAAAAAGCAAGCAUUAUUUUUCUUGUUAUAGAUCACUUUUACUAACAUUUAGUCACGAAACCAAUCCAACCACUUCCAGCGAAGGCUUAGAAUCAAUAAAGCGUCAUUGAACUUGCUUCAUGAGACAUCUGAGUUUAGAACUCUUAACUCGUGAAACAUGAAUUCAAUGAAAAUAUAUUGCUUUAUAUAACGAACUAAACAAACAAUUUCAUUCCUAAUUUUUGAUAAUACUCAUUUUACAAUCAUUCAAUAUUCAAUCUCUCUUUAUCAAAGAAAUAAAAAGAAUCUAUUGCUCUUCAAUAAACUACAUAAAAAAAUAACUCAAUAUCCAAUUAUAUACAAUGAUUAUUCAAUUUUUAAAAUUAUUGUGUCGAUCACUUGAUAGCACAAUUAGACUUAUUCAACCCUUAAUCUCAAUUAGCAACUUUCUCCAUUUUAAUGCAUAAAAUUGUUAUUGUAGGCGAUAUUAGUCAAUUAAUUAAACUACCUAUAUCUAUCUUUAUAUAACAUGUAUUAAAAAAAAAACAAUCACUUGCGCAUUUAUGUGUUAAAAGUUUAUUUUUCCCAACCCACACUAUGGGGAUUUAUGUGUUAAAGUUUUUUUUCCUCUGAAUUUCAUCACUUGCGCAUUCAGUUUCUUCAAUUUGUCGUUCUCAUUCUUGUUUGAGGGCUUAAAUGAUCUUCUCUAAAAUUUUAACCAAUUAUUUUCUCUACUAUCUUUAAGAUUUCAACCAAAUGAAUUUCAGCAAACGUCUUUAUCCUUUUCAUCAUAAUGUAGUUAUAGUAAUGUAACAAUAAUGAUAAUAUAUGCUACGAGGGCAAAUUAGAAGGUUGCAUCUGACAGGAAAUUUUAAGUGGGAAACAAACGUAAUGUAAGCAAUGUGUGAUAUCAGAUUAUUAUAACCACUUGAUGUGCAAAUGGACAACCACUUGUAGUUACUCGGUUGUCUGAGCCCGUAAAAACAAAUAGAUGCAAAUUGUUUGUAUCACUGAAAUCAGGUUAUAGGUGUAAAUCACAAGAGUAGUCUAUAUAUUCGGAAAAAUGUUUUGUCAACGUCGGUGAAAGAGACUGAGAUAUGUAGCAAAUACAGUGUAUGAUAGAUAAUCUUCAAUAAAAAGAUUAAUGUUUUGAAUAUAAUUUUAAGUUUUGAAAGGUUUAAAAAUUGUCUGUUAGAAUAAAAUUAUAAUCAACUAUACAAGACAUAUUUUAUAUAUUAUAUUGCAGAAAUUUGAAAUCUUGAAAAUAUUUAAAACUAUUGUUGAUUUAUCAAAAAUAUUAAAAAUAUAAGUAUUUAUUGCUUCAAAUUCUAAGUUGUAAUCCUGAAACAUAGAGAAAGAGAGGUAAUAACACACCUGCAAACUUGUGCUUCUUUAUCAAUUUAGACUAUUUAUGUCUUAUACACUUUUUAGAUAAGAAGAUGAGACAAUAUACAUCGUUCAUAUAUUGAGAAUCAUAACCUUAUAUUUAGGACGAUGAUCAAUUAUGAUUUUAAUUAUUUUGAAAUGGAUUAUUAUUAACAUUCACUCAUAUUAAUUGAUUAAAUAAUUAAUUAUUUAAAUAGAAAUUUAGUUAACUUUAGUUUUAUUAAUCGGUUAAGACUCAUAACUUAUAAACAGGAAAAUUAUUUUUUGAAGUUUUACUGGAGUGGAAUUUCUUCACUGGAAAAGUUGAGAAAAUAUUUUGGAUAAAAUAAGAAAAAAUUGACUCACAAUUUUUAAAUUUUAACAUUUAUAGGAGGGUAAAAAAGUCAUUUUCUUACCUUUAUGGAGUAAAGGUUAAAUGUCAGAUGUAUAUAGUAAAAUUAUAAAAUAAUAAUAAUAAUAAUAAUAAUAAUAAUAAUAAUAAUAAAUAAAAUAUGUAUCAUGAAAGUAAUUGAAAAAAGUUGUCGAUUUUUAAAAUAAAUUGAAGAAGUUUUAGAACUCUAAAUAGGAGUAUAAAUUGCAUGUGACACUAUAAGAGUUUUAAUUUUUUUUGUGACCCUACAAGAGUAAAACAAAAUGCUGCACUCCUCGAUAUGAACUAAUCACAAGAUAAAAUUCAAUUUAUAAAAAAGUUUAAUGGAUAUACUUAGUGUAAAUUAGUAUCACAUUGAUAUGCAACGUGAGUAUCCUAUUUUUCUAUUUCCAUACCAUUAAUCUCAAAUUUUAAUUGUGAAAGUAGGGCGGUGCAGCAAAAUAGAUAAUUUUUAUUGAAUAUUAAUGUAAAUUAAUUUAUAUUGAUUUCACAUAUAUUUUAAAACCUUUAAAAUGAAAAUUUCAUAAAAGAAUAAAAUAUAUAUUAUUUUUUAUAAUAAAUAAUGGAUAAUAGAAAAAUGUCAUUUUUAUUUAUGAAAUGCGAACAUCAAACUCGACAUAAAUAUAAAUCUUGCAAUAUGACUAAUUUUCAAAAUAUAGUAUAUCAAGAUAGUGCAUACAUAUACACACUUGUGUGGGUGCGUGUAUAUAUAUUAACAUGAUAAAAAUUUAAAUUUAAUAUAUUAGCCGUCUAAAAGCAAAGUGAGUGGGAAAGAUCACAAUGGCUGACAUGAAUAAUUUAUAAGGUCAUCCUUAUAUAAACAAUCAUAAGGUAACAAGACGAGUCAUGUAUUAAUGAGAUUAAUUGUUAUGUUUAAACUUGAUACUCAUGGAAGAGAAGAGAAAAAAGUUUUAAAAAAUGUAUUAUAUUGAAUUGAUUAUGGUAAAAAUGAUAUAAAUGGAAAGAAAAAAAAUUACAUGAAAGAGAACAAUGAAACUUAUAAUUAAGUUACCAAGAGUAAAUAUAGGUUAAGUCUCUUGACACGUCUUAGACUUUUCUAACAAGUGUUGAAACAAUUUGAUUUAUGAGACAUAAUUAAGUUGUUUCUAAGACGUGUUUAAAUCGUAUUCGAGAAGUGUCCUUAUCAAAAAGUAAUGUCCACACCACACUUAAAGAGGUAUUAGGAGAUGAAAUUAUUCGUAAUAAAUAAUAAUAAAGGAAGACAAAGACCACUACCAGCAAGCAAUUAAUUACAUCCACAAUCUUAUUUCACUUCUCAUUCAUACAUACUACCAAGUUACUUUAAAUCACUUAUUUUCCUCAUAAUUUAUCGCCAAAAGAUAGGAAUGACAACCACACACAAAAUACAAAAAAGAACAAAUUAAUUAAAUCAAAAAAUCAAAACCAUACCAAAUUGUAAGAGACAAAAAUAUUAACAAACUUUUCAAAACCUUUGUUAAAAAAGUGUUCUACUUUCUUAUAUACAAAUUCAUCACAUCAUAUAAGAACAAAAAUAUUGAAGUAUUUAUUUUUUGAACUAAGUAAACAUUUAAUGAAUUUUAGGAUUUAAUUCAUCAUAUAUCUUGUGUAUAAAUAAUCUAUCUGCUGACAUCAAUUAUAAUUUAUAAAAAACUUAUGUCAUAAAAAAUAGUUUACUUGUAAUUAUCAUUAAAAUCACAUAUAUAUUACCAUUAUUUUUCAAUAUAUGUUCAUCUUGAAAUUUUCUCUUGUAUCUCUUACUAUAAAAUUCAUUUCAAAUUUUUAAGUGCAAUAAGAUUCGUAGUUAUGUUAUAUUUUUUUGUAUAAUUACAAUCUAUAAUAAAGUAUAUGAAGGGCAUACACUACUUCUGCCUCUUGGACUUGAAACAUAAACUUAAAAUAAUAGCAAUAGUCAACAAUAAUUAAUAUUACUGCAACUUCUUUAUUAUGUAAUUUAUUGUAAUUUGUUGACAUUUUUUUAAUCCAACAAUAUAUAUUAAUAUAAAAUUUUGGUAACAAUUAUUUAUUGUUGACUAAUAAAUAUACUAUUUUAUUUAAAUCGGUGAAAUAAAUUGUAAAUAAUACAAACUCAAUUUAACGUUAUUAAAAUUGAAAGAUCAAUAUGUAAAUAAACUUAAAAUAUAUAAAACGGUAAAAUAUCUACAAAUAUGAUAAAAUCAAAAUGAUUGUGUGAAAAUAUGCAUCAAAUCAAAUAACUAGAGUUAAUUAUGUUUUAGUGUUGGUUAUAACUGAAUUUGGCCAAUUUGGUUAUGACAAAAGUAGUUAUAGUUAGUUAAACUAAUGUACUUUUAAAUACUGUAAAAGCAAUUGUCAAAAGCAAUUGUCAAAAGGAUUCAUAAAAAUCAUAGAAGAGAGAUUAAGGGAGAGGGAUCAAAAAGAGAUUGUAAGAGAAGUCUAGUAUUGCUGAAUUCUCAAAAGCGAUCGAUUAUGGGAGAUUACAAUUGAUGAGACCUUAAUCUUGUAAAUUCAUAUCUUCAUAGUGAAUUGUCUUGUUAUCUUGCCCGUAACAUAGGUCUCAAGUUAUUGAGGCUGAACGCGUAAAUUCUGAAGUUAUUCUUGCCUUAUCUUUCUAUAGUUUUCGUUUACAUUGAUUGAAAAAAUGUUUUCAAAACUGCACAAAAGGAUAACAUUCUUCGUUUCAGUCUGUCUGAAACGUUAUUCGUUUUCAGCGAAAACGAAUAACAUCUUUUUGUUUCAGUUCUAGUCCUGCAGUUGUAAACUAAGAACAUUAUCCGUUUUAGUGUUUCAGUUCUAGUCAAGAACGUUAUCCAUUUUCAGAGAAAACGAAGAACAUUAUCUAUUUUAAAAGAAAACAAAUAACUUAUCCGUUUCAAUUUCUUAUUUUGCAAUUAUUAGUUUUCUAUUUUGUUGGUUAAUUCUUGUUGCAAAUCUCAAUAUUAUUUUAAGAGAUUGAAAUUACCAUAUUGUGGUUUAGGUUGAAAAAAAUAUGAAACUGAUUGAAAAAUUGAGGGUAAUUUACUUAAAUAUAAUAAAAAUUACUCACGUGAUUAAAUUUGCUAGUGGUAUUAAUAAGUUAAUUUUUAUUCCAUUUGCUAUGAUUUAUUUUUAUAAAUAUUAUUUUAUUUUACUUUGUUGAGAUAUUUUUUAAUUAAAUAAUUGUCAUAAAUAUAAAAUAAAAUAUUAGUUAAUAAGCAUGUAUUUUUUAGUAGAAUAUGCAAAAAUUUCAUAUCAAAUUAUAGAAAAUAGUAAAAUAGAUGCAAAAUCUUUAUAUCAAAUCAUAGAAGAGAGAAAAAUAAAAACAACGUUUGUAUUAAUAAAAUGAUAAAUAUUAUUAUUAUUAAGUAUAAUGAAAUUUAUAUACUCAAAUUAAAAUAAAAAAACUAAUAAUUUCUAAUUAUGGCAACUAACUUUUAACAAACAUCUAACUAAUUUUACAUCUCUAAUAUUCAUGCAAGUUAGAAAAUAUUAUGACACUUAUUGCUUGAAAUAAAUAAAACAAUAUUGUAAAAAAGAUAAAUAAAUACCAUGAGAUACGUUAAAAUAUAUCGACUAAAGAAUUUUAAAAUGCUGAAAUAAAUUGGCUAAAUAUUUUUUGAAAUAUUUUUUUUCAUAUGAAAUAAGAAUUAAAAAAAUUAUAAUGCAAUAUUGUUUUUUUAUUUUUUAUAAUAGGUGUUGAAUCGAGUUUACACAUUGCAAGAUAUUCUCUUGCAUUUUUUUAAUCAAAUCUCAUGCGCAACUAUUUGGUCCUUAAGAGUUGUAAAUGAGAAUUUAAUUAUGAAUUUUUUUUUAUAAACAAUAACAAUCUUGUUUUUUGUUGUUAUUGUUGUUGUUGGUGGUGGUGAGUGUUGAAUAAAUAAUUUACACUUUCAUGCAAUAUCUUGCUUGUAUUUCUUUUUUAAUAUCAAUUUGGCUAAAAAAAAAUAAUUAUGCCAUCAAAUAUUGUUGGUGUGGUAUUGAGAAAUCUUCAAUAAAUGUACUUGACUCAAUCUUUUUAUAAUUGAUGAAAAUUGUUAAUGUUAAAAUAAGAUUGAUAUCAAAAUAUUGAAAAAGUCUUGUGUUUUAUAAUAGUUUUGUUUAUGGGUGGACAAAGUUAAGUUCAGAAUAUAACUGUUUAAAAACGGAACCGAAUUGAUUUUCAGUUCGAAAAAACUAAACCUAACCAAUUUUCAGUUUGAAAAAUCGAACCAAACUGAUUUUAUAAAUUGGUGAACUGAUUUAUUGCUCUGAACCGAAUCAAAUUGGUUUUAACUUAGUUUUAUUUGUUCGAAUUGAACUAAAUUGUUGUAAUAUGGAUAAUACCGAACCAAACUGUUUUGUUCUUAUAGGUUUUUUGUGUUCAUAUAGUCCAAUUUUACAUAAUUACUUAUAAAAAACAUAUUUGAUUCUAGUUUUUUUCGAAUUAAAAAUCGGUUAGGUUCAAUUUUUUUAAUUGAAAACCGGUUCAGUUUAGUUCUAAUUUUUAAAAAUCAAUUUAGUUAAUAAAUUGAUUUUGAAAAAACUAGUUCAGUUUUUUAUAAGUUGGUUCAGUUCGAUUCAAUUUUAUUCAAUUUUUUGUUUUUUGUAAUAUCCCUAGUUUUGUUGGUAAACAUAUUGCCCAUUGUUUGAUGGGUUUUCUUUUAUUAUCAUCAUCAUCACGAAGAUAAUUCUAAUUUAGAAUUUGAAAGAAAAAUAAAAGAAAAUGAGAAAGAAAAGAUAAAUUAGUUAAGUUUUUAUGAAAAUUUUCUCAAGAAAAUCGCAGAAUAAUUAAUAAUUUAAUAUCAUAUUAAAAUAUACAAAAUUUUCGUCACUAAUUUCGAAUUACAGUAACUAACUUUACCUCUAUAAUAUAUUUGAAAAUAAUAAAAAAAAAUAUUUGACAUUUUAAUUAUUUUAAAUAAUAUAGACAAUUAUUUUAAAAAUAUCUUAUUUCUAUAUUAAUGAGUAAAAUUAAUUCAAAAUUUUAUAAUAAAGAAAAAUUUCACAAAAUAAAAAGGUAUUUUAUUUUCUUGCAAUUUAUUUUAAUUGCAUUGCGAAGUUGCAUUUGUUAAUUGAUGGUUGAAACUUAAUGCUUCAACGUGCGUGGGCUGGCUAUGGACACAUCUUCCUAACUCUGCCAAAAUCUUGUCUGCAUGUUUGCCAUUAGCAUUACUCCAAUUUAACAAACCAUUGCGUUAUGUUAUUAAAUUAUCGAUACUUGAAUGAUGUGUCAGAUACAAUCACUAAUUUUAAGUUUUUAUUUUUUAAGUCUAUUUAAAAUGAUAUUUUUUUUAUGAUUUUAAUUAAAAUUAAAAUUUUAAUUUCAGUUAUUGAAAAAAUUAAAUAAAUAAUAUACUAAAAUUCUUAAUUUAUUGAAACAAAAUAUCCACAGUAUAUUAAAUAUCUACAAAAAUAUGUAGAAAGAAAAAAAAAACCGUAGAACGCUAAAAACAAAAAAACGAUUUGCAAAUAACAAUCAUAUAUUUAAUCCUAUUUUAUACUGUUAUCAUUUGUUAUGUGUGUGGGUGCUUAUCGAAGUGGUUUUGUCUUUUAUGUGUUGUGUUUGUUCCUCUUGUCUUGCAUCCCCGUUGGGCAUGUGGGAGCGCAGUGUGUGUACAUUGUUCAUUCAUUCAAUCUAGUUGCCGAAUAUAGAGAUAAAGUUACGCUUCACGUGGUCUGGGCAAAUUGCAUUCACUUUCUCCACUUCAGACCCUAUCGUUCCUAUUGGUCCGUCCAUUCCCUAUCUGUACAUACCAUAUUAUUAAUUAAUCCAUCACCACAAGCACAGCACCAAACAGAUUAGAGAAUUUCAUAUGAAUACCAUUAUCUGCAUAGCAAUAACACUAACUUUUUCAAUUUGUCACACAAAUAGAUGUAAGCAUUGUAUGAUUUAGAUUUAGACGGUGUUCUAUUUAUUUUAGUGUUUCUUUCUUCAAUGAAAUGUUUAAUUAUAGUUAAAAGUAUGAAACUUAUGAAUCUGUAUCUUAAUCGUGCUAGAUAAAAAAGCAACCCACUUGUAGUAAACAUAGAGUUUUUAUAGUUUUUUGACAAAUAUAUAUAGCACUAGUUAUUAAUAGUAUGUCAAAUAAACCAGGUUCAAUAAUGUAGAAGAGAAUAAAGUAUUAUAAAUUUGACUUUAUCUAAUUGGUGGGUCAUAUAAGGAAUCUAUGGCCUAAUGAGCGAGGUUUGUGUGCAUAUGAAUGGUACAACAGGAAAGGGAAUGUGAGUACAGAUUGGAUUUUUUUUUCAAGACCAACCUUCAACCUUCGGGCAGCGUUUUCCGGCAACCCGGCACCGUACUUCCUUCUUUCUCAAUCGUUUAUUUCUGGUUCGUUCCUAUUCAUCAUUACCAAGUUUUUUCCUCUUAUUUAUUCUUCUUUUAUGUUGUUUCAAUUGUUUGUUUUGAUUGUUUUUUUUGAACAUUUUAGUUUAAUUUUGAAUGUUUUUCUGGUGUGCUGUUUCACUGAAUUAUUAUUCUUCUAUUAUGUUGAUUUUUUUUCGAACAUCGUGCCUAUUUUGUGAAGGAGGAGGAGAAGGGAUUUUUUUCAAAAAUUGUGACUUAUUUUUUUCUCUAAUUUGAGAUUGAUUUUCAUGUGGAUUUUGCACUGUAGUCUUGAAAUCGUGACUUACAAAUGAUUUUUUUUAAAGAAUCUUAAUUAUAAUGAAUAAAUUAUUAAUGUUUUUGCAAAGAAAAAAUAUAAUAUAACUGGGUUUCAUUUUUAUAGUUCGCCUAAGGCACCAAAUAUCUUAUGACCUGCCUAUAACAAAGUUGUACCAAUGUAUCCAAUCCCGUCAUAUAUAUUAUAACAUAUAUUAUAAGGUAGAUAUAUAAUUGUGAUAUUUUAGUAACUAAUGUAACAAAGGGCAUAACUUAAUAAAGUGGCAGUGGCAUAAUAGGGAGUUAUGAUUUUAUGCAUGUGUAAAACUUUGUUAUAUUGAUAGUGUAUAUGAAUUAAAUCCUAUGAAAAACAUAUACUAAUUUGUAUGACACCAACACAUUAUUGAUAAUAAUUUGAGAAAAUAAAUUAAUUGAAUGUAAUCAGUGUGUAAGUGUUGGAUAUCGGGAUGGGAUGUCGAUUAAAAGUGUCGGUACUACAGAGAUUAAAUCUAUUUUUUGUUUUUAAAUUAAUAAUAAUUUUAAUUUUAACUAAAUAAAAAAGUUUAGGAAACUAAAUUAUUAAAUUUUAGUGAAUUAAAUUAAAAAUAAAUUUACCACUACAGAUAAUUUAAUUUAAAAAUAACAUAUAUAUUAAUUAAAAGAUAAAAAUAUCGAUACGUUAAUCUUUUUAAGAAUACUAUAGAAAUUCAGUUAUCAUUAGUUUAUUAUUAUUGUAAAGAGCUUCGAUUUGUGCCUCAAAUUGGUUGAUGAGAGGACCAUCUGAUUUGAAGCCACUCAUUCUAUCAUCAUCAAAUGACGUGGCAAACUUUAAGAGGCACGUGCGACGCAGGAGGUUCGUGCUUCUUACACAUGGAAUGGAACAUUUUGCAUAAUAUAUACUCCGUAUAUACACUCAUAUCUUACCAUUGAAUUAAUAUUUACCAUAUGUGACUUGUAUUUACAUUUACUGAAGUUUGGCAUUUCUUACAUCGACUUAGGCUGUUUAGGGAAUCUCUAGAAUCUACUAUCCUGUGGCAGUUCCCACCUCACUCCCCUGCAACUGCCAGUACGCUUGAAUUUAACGGAACAGAUUUAAUCAAUUAAUUAAAUAAUUUAUUUAAAUAUCACAAUCAUUACCAAAAUUGACAUCAAUCUGAUAUGAUAAUUGACAACAAUCUGAACUCAUUGAGUACUCUGCCUGGUUACAGAUUCGCCAUUAACUACCGUAUCAGCUGUUACUUUCAUUUUUUUACUGCAUCAUAUUUUUUUCAAUAAUAUCAUUAAUUACUCCUCGUCCCAAUCAAUCAUCGUUCACAAAGUUUAUUUAGUGUAAUUCUUUUAAAUGUUGUUAGAGAAGUAGUUUUUUUUUAACUAUAAUAAUUUGACAUAGAAAAAAAAUAUAUAUCAGAUGUGAUAGAGUGUAAAUUCAUACGGAUUAUUGUUUCAACAUCGAUCAAUCUUUCAUCAUUUUAUAUGCAUUUACGAGAUAAUAAAAAUAUAAUAAAGUGAUUUUUUGUUUGACCUUCUUUUUUAAAAUAAAUUGUAACUUAAAAUUUAGUAGAGAAAACAUUAACGUUCGAAAUAUUAUUUUUUAGUUAAAAUUUUAAUUUAAUAUUUUCAAAAUAAUAUAUUUUUAACUGAAGUUUAUAAUUGUAAGGAGAAAAAGAAACUGAAGUUUAUAACCACUUCAAUCUAGUAAGUGGUUUAUAAAGUAACGCAAGACCAUUCCAAAGCCAAAACUGAUUGCAGUUCUUUUUUUACUAAGAAACUAAUUGGAGUGGAUGGUUUGAGAGUUUAAAAAUCAUUUUCAAAUACCUUGAAAAAAUAGAAAUAUGUUUAAAAAUAUUACUUUUUUCAUGAAAAAAAUACUAUCAUUAAAAAAAUAAAAUUCAAGAAUAUUGCUUAAUAAUGAUCAAUAUGCUAUAAAUUAUAGUUUAUUAAUAAAUAAAAAAGAAUAAAUUUACGAACAAAAUCACAUGAAACAUCAACUACUUGAUUAACUUCAAUAGAAACGUGACUCAAUGUAUAAUAUUACGACUUCAUGAGUAACUUCAAUAGAAACAUUACACAAUGUAUAAUGUUUUGACUUCACGUGAAAAUAUGUGUAGAGCUACAACCAUUAAGUAUUAAUCACGCUACCAUUUUGAAAUUCGACUCAAUCAAAUUAAUCUAUAGUAAUACCAAGUCAGCAAACAAAACUAAAAGAGGAAUUAUCAUUAUGUUUACAGAAUACUCUUCGACAAUUUGCUUUUGUCCCAUAAUUAAUGUUUGUCCUGUCUCUAUUAAUUAGUUCAAGUCGAUCUACACAAAUGGAUUCCAAGACAGGAACACAUAAAUAGUGUUAAAUAUCAUAUUUAGCGCAACCAUUAUUUUUAUAGAUAAAGAUUGACUUAUGUCAACUAUUUUGUGGAUUAUCUUCAUGAGCAUAGCACGAAUCAUCACAUUAAAGUUUCAAAAAACUCUAUCAUUCUGAAUCAUUCUCAAUGUAUUCAGAAUUUUAUAGAAGUUUCAAUAGUGUACCAUGAUAAAUAAAGAGUAUUGAUAUAACUUUUUGAUGUGGAUUUGAGUGAUUCCAUAUAAGAUUGAAGAUCUAACUAAAUGUUUUCUUCAAAUAAAAUGACAAAAUAAAAAGGAGAAAGAAUCAAAGAUGAAUUAGGUUGAGAAGAUUAACAAGGAAUGCACUAUAUCGAAAAAGAUUGAUAAAUCAAUGAAGAAUCGUCACAAUGGUAAAAAUGUCAUUGAUAAGAUUAAGCAGAUUCUAAUCCAAUAACUCAAAUAAUAGACUAAGUUCACUGAUCAUUAUCAAUAAGAGAAAACUCUAAUUCGUUUUACAUUUAUCCAAAAUAAGACUCUUAUAAGAUAUUUAAAGAAUAAUUCACCUUAUCCAUAAAAUGGGGCAAACCCCAAUUUUCUAGACCCAUAUUAGGCUUACACCAUUUAACUAAAAUCAAACUAAAAUUAUAAUUCAAAUUAAAUACAAAUAAAACUAAAAACUAUUAUAAAGUAUUGACUUGAAAUAUUAUUUAUUUUUCCUUCUAAUUAACUAAUUUUAGAUCCUCAUUAUUCCCUCAUUUUUAGAACAAUUUCGAGCUCAAAUUAAGCUUCAGUGUAACCUUCAAGAAAAAAAGUAAAAGACAAUAAAAACAAUAUUAACGUUACCGCCGAUAUCAUACUAAAAUUAUGAAAAACUACCAAAUGUAUCAAGUAGGUGAAGCACAACUCUACUUUUUGCAAUCAACAUAUUUAUUUUUCAAUAUAUGGAGUUUUAAAGAUAAAAAUAACAUUAUACGUCUUGAAAUUUACAUUAAGUAUCAAUGUUACCUUCCUUAGAUUAGAAUUGGCGACACACAAAAAGUCCUUUUGUAUUUGCAAAGACUUCAAAGCAAAUAGAGCCUUAUUAACAUUCCCUUUAUCAUAAACAAAUGAAGGUUCUUUUUUGAAAUAUGACAAGUCCCUCAAACAAAUUAGGAGUAUCAUAUCAAAGUUUAAAAGAUUUGUCAAUAAUAAAUUAUGCCUUCAAUUUCAAACACAUUUUCAUUAGGAGAAUAUAUUUCGUGAUGAGAUCUCCUAUCUAUUUUAUUCACAAUCUCUUUUAUCAAGACAUUCAAUGGAUUAUUCAAUUUUUUGUAAGUGGAUCCAUAAGAUAAACGGUUCUAGAAGAAUAAAGGUUUUGUUCAAUUCCACUUGUGAUUGCAAUAAGUACCAUAAUAAUCUUUUUUGUUAGAUGGCCUAAAGCAUGUAUGAAUAUCAAACAAAAUAAGAAAACUAAGUUAACUAACAUGUCUUCAAACCAAACAUAAUAUCCCCUCUUCAUGUAGAUGUACAAGCCCAUUGACCUAGUUUCUGUUCUUUGAUAUCCUUUGCAUUCGUUUGAUCACCUUUUUAACUUCUCAAAGCCCUUCUUGUACGAAUCGGUCUAUUCAGGGUUGAAUCUGGAGAGGUCUCUGGUGUUUCUUGGGCAACAAUAUUUUCAGCAACUGAGUUUUUCAUGCUUUUCUCGGUGCGGCAGGUCUUGAUCAGAUAAUGAGCAACAGAUUUGAAACCCAAUUUUGUUACCUUAGAAACACAAAGGGAAAGGGGACAAUCAGUUCCAUAACAUCCAUAUCUUGGCCCUCCAUUCCAAACCACAAAUGGCAAAAAAAUUAAGAGGAACGACUCCGUUAAAGAAUGUGAAGUAAAUAGUGUACUCGUUUAUGAAGACCUGCAGUUACUUUUUCAUGCACACUGAAGAAGAUAGAACUGAAGAGAAGGGAACAAACUGUAAAGGUCAAAUUGUGCAACUAACCUUAUUGUAAAUAUUACCAGUGGGCAUCCAACCAUUUCUCCUACGACAACUAUUGCAGUUGCAAAUUUCUCGACAUGAAGGGCAAGUCCACUUGGGAUUAAAGUUGGCUUCUGUCACAUUUUCUCCAUAUCUAUAAUACAGUAGUAGAAAAUGACUAUAAUAAAAUGGGUGUGACAGUUGCUAACACAAGGCUAUACUCAAGUUUUAGAGGCACUAACACCUCCGGGAAAUAACAUUGAAAUUGCAUAUAUUUUCAAGAUUUGAAUGAAAAAAGAAGUCAUUUUCUCGAUCUGAAUCUCAACUAUAACAAUGUUACCUUGUGUACAAGCAAUCUCCACAAAGCUGUCCUUGGGGUAAUUCGCAUUUGUUGCAAUCGGUCAGCUGACCAACAGUUACAUGCCUACAAGAAAACAAAUUAUUUCUGAAAAACUUCACCAUAGUCAGAGAAACAAUGACAUUUAAGAAUCGCGAGCCAACUUUAUGCAUUAACUACAGAAAGGAGCUAAAUCUGAGUUCUUCAAUCAAGGCACAUGCAUAAAACUAUUAUACAGAAGUUAAAACCAUUCUAGAACUACUAAACGUUAAAAAAAUAGCAGCUAAAUUUUAAGACUCGGCAUAAAGCUUUAUCAUUCGAAGUUUCAACCUAUUAACAAAACAGCUGCAAUGACUAAUUAUUUCUUCCUCAAUCAUCUUUGCCAAUAAGCUAUGGUUCCAAACUUUACCAAAACCAUCCUACUUACAACAACAGGAUAAACAAUGGCAAUAUAAGGAACUAACAAAAAUGUUUAGUAACACUAAAUUUUAUAGCUCUAAUAGACCUAUUGGAUCAAAACCUGCAGAUCUGGAUGGUUGACAACCUUCACUUGUUGCAUUGGAACCUGUGCACCAAUGUUAUAAAAACAUUUCCCUUGUCAAAUUGCUAGAUAGAGACAACCUUUAACUUAUGUAAAUAACAUCAUCAAACAAAAGGCUUCCAAAUUUCCCAUGUUUCCCAAUAAAGUUUUGUUCUAAGGAUACUAUUAAGUACUAAAUGAUCUAAGAAUAAAAUUUUUUUGCGAGACAAGGCAAUGUUUAAUACUCCCUCUGCCCCUUAUUGUAAGACUGUUAGGAUAUAGAAUAAAGGGAAAUUAGAGUAGUUAUGAGUUAAUAGAGUAGUUAGGAGAUAGGAGCUUUUGUACGUCUGUUAGUUAUUUUCUAUUUUUGUUUUAGGUUUGUUAGUGUUCUGUUUCUGUUUUCCUAUUUCUUAGGCUAGAGUUGAUUGAUCCUUAUCUCUUUUAUCCUAUUGUAUAGAGAACCUAUAAAUAAAUGUUCUCUUCCCCUUACUCUCAAAUGAACUAAAAUAAGGGCUAUAAUGUAUCCUUCGAACUCAUAUUAAAAAAUUUAUAAAUAAUUAUUAUAUCUUGAAUAAAUAAAAUGUAUAAUUUUCGAGAAAAAAAUAAACAAUUUUCAAUACAAAUUUAUAUCUUAACAUUACCCUUAAAAAUUAAACCUACAACAGUACUAUUUAAUAAAAUGUCAAUUUUUAAUUAUUUUCAUUUCUGAAUAAUAAUUGAAGCACAUGUCCAACAAGUCAGCCAUCAAGCAAGGUAUUCAUUAUUUAUAUUUAUACGGGUCAAUUAAUUUUAAUACUCAAUUGAGUACAAUGAAUCUAAAAAGUAAAUAUAAACAAUAAAACGAACUACUAUAGUAAGUACUUGAUUAAUAAAAAUUGUCAUGUAAAAUUAACCAAAAAAAAAAUAGACAUUUUAUAAAGUUGAGAUAUUCUCUGCAUCUCCUAAAAAAUUGAGGAAUUGUGACCAUCAUUUUAGGGAAAAAAGUAAUACAAAAGAGAUAUUAGUAUAUUUUCAAUAAUUUAAAAAUCUUUUAAAUAAAACAUUUGAUAAAUCAAUAUCGUAUUUAUGUUUAUCUAUUUUCUAAAUGUAACACUCCAUUUCUCUUGACGACCAAAAGAAUCUCAACCCAUAAAAGUUAUUAUUAGCAUAUUUAAAUAAUCUAAAUAAAAAUUUGAUAAACUCAUUUGUGUCUCUCUUUUAUAAACAUUAUUGUCAUUUUUAUUAGAAAUUAAAAGAAUCUGGACCCAUAAAAAUGAUUAUAAAAUUAGUCCCAAACAUCCAGCUUAAUUAUUAACUAAUCAUGCCAUGCAUAUUGCCUUGUCGGGUCCCUGUCUUCAUCGCUCAUUAACAACAACAUUAUGAUAAUGAUUCUCACCAUUCCUAACGACACCCAUAUCCAGCAUUUUCUUUUUCUUAACCUUCUCCCACUCUAAUUUAUUUAUACAACAUUUAAAAAAAAUUAAUGAAUUUAAUUUAAGACAAAAAAAAUGCAUUUUCUUAGAUCUUUUUAUUAUUGUUCUUAGUUAAAAUAUAUUUUUUGUUAUUAAGAGAAAAUUAUAGAUUUAAAAAAAUCAUACAUAAUUAUGAAUAUUUUAAGUAAGGAAUAACACUAAAAAAAUUUAAAAAAUUAAAAUAUAUAAAAUUUGUUAUUUAUUUUAUAUAGAAAAUUUAUAACUUUCUAUGCUUUAAAAUUAAUCAACAAAAUUUUCUUUAUGUGAAUCAGAUAUUCUCUCCACACUACUAGAAAAAUUAAUGAAUUGGUCAGAUAAAACCGCAAUGUGCAUUAAAACUCUUCCUGGNNNNNNNNNNNNNNNNNNNNNNNNNNNNNNNNNNNNNNNNNNNNNNNNNNNNNNNNNNNNNNNNNNNNNNNNNNNNNNNNNNNNNNNNNNNNNNNNNNNNNNNNNNNNNNNNNNNNNNNNNNNNNNNNNNNNNNNNNNNNNNNNNNNNNNNNNNNNNNNNNNNNNNNNNNNNNNNNNNNNNNNNNNNNNNNNNNNNNNNNNNNNNNNNNNNNNNNNNNNNNNNNNNNNNNNNNNNNNNNNNNNNNNNNNNNNNNNNNNNNNNNNNNNNNNNNNNNNNNNNNNNNNNNNNNNNNNNNNNNNNNNNNNNNNNNNNNNNNNNNNNNNNNNNNNNNNNNNNNNNNNNNNNNNNNNNNNNNNNNNNNNNNNNNNNNNNNNNNNNNNNNNNNNNNNNNNNNNNNNNNNNNNNNNNNNNNNNNNNNNNNNNNNNNNNNNNNNNNNNNNNNNNNNNNNNNNNNNNNNNNNNNNNNNUCUAUAUAUAUAUAUAUAUAUAUAUAUAUAUAUAUAUAUAUAUAUAUAUAUAUAUAUAUAUAUAUAAUUUAAAAUUACAAUAAUAUUAUUAUUGCGACGGGAGUGCAUAUCAACACCCUCAAACUUAUUUCCGCCCCCUGAAUUUUAAUUUCGGAGAAACCCGCACCCCCACUCAAUCAAAAUGGGUCUUCUCUGCCCAAAUAAAAAUAAAUUUGGAUGGAUACCUGCAAAUUCGGGUGGGUACUUGCAGGUGCGAGUUAUGUUGUCAUCUAUAACUUCAAUCUUUUAAAUUAUAUAUUUCGGUCCUUUCUAAUAUUGUCUAAUAUUGUAACUUAUUGGAUCCAAGUGUUUAUUUUUUGAAACUUAAGAGGUUAAAAUCUUUAAUGUUUAUAACAUAUGAAAUUAAAAUGUAAGGAAAACUACUUGAGGGUCUAUAUUGUUUAACAUUUGUAAUUUUCUGAGACUAAAAUAAAAACAAAAUUUAAGAGAGCAAAAGUAUAAUUUAGCUUAAUUUUUAUGUUGUGAAGGAGCGUGCUAAUGAAAAUUAAUGAGGAUGCAGCAUUCAAUAAAAAAAAUUCUACUACACCACCCUAUAUAUAUUAUUAUUUUAAAAUUUAUAGUCUGUCAUGAAAAACUGAAUCUUUUAUUAAUAUUGUUAUAAAAUUAUUUUAUAUUGAUUUUAUAUCACCAUUAAAUCUUUUACAUAAUUUAUAAUAUUUUCAUAUAAGUUUACAUCAUAAUUGUAUUCAAAAUAUUUAUAUAUUUAAAAUACAGUUUUUUUAUAAAAUUUACUUUUUAUAAUUUAUAUAUUUAUUUAUAUAUAUAAUCAAUUUUAAAAAUAUAUGUUUUAUAUGUUCAAAAGAAUACAAAAAUGUGUUUUGUAAGGUCAAAAGAAAAGAAUAGUUAAAAGUGUAUGUAUAUCGAUGUUGAUAUUAUAUAUGUGACAGAAAUUAACAAAAUUUGACAACGCUUAUCAAUGACUACAAUAUGCCAUAUUAUCAAUUGGGGUUGACAUUGAACAUUGAUUUUAAAUUAAUAUUUAAUAUAUAUCAAUUCAUAACCUAAUGAAAAAUGAAAUGGAAACAUUGUGUACCUUGUAUUUAUGUGAAAGCUGCUACUAACUUUGUAGUAUGAAGCUUGAUAUCGCGGUAGAAAAGCAAAGAGAAAUAAAGUUCUAGAAAAAGAGAAUGAGAAGGAGGGUAGUGAGGAUCUGAAGGGAACAGGCAUCUCGACAAGUCCUUUUUAUAACGUAAAUUUGAAAUUUUGUUGUUACCAAACUAUACUAUACUAUAUUUUUAGAUGGUAUUUAAUAAACUAGUCUACGUUUUUUUUGGGUACAACUAGUCUACGUUUUUAUUCAUAUUUAUUAUGCCCUUUGGGUAGGUGGAGGCUCGCAUCCUCGACUUUUCGCUGGUUAUUAGUUUAAAUAUUUAUGAGUAAAAAAUAAAACAUUGUCCUUAACUCUUAAAGUAUCUCUAAUGGUUCUUAAAUACAUACAUUUUUUGCGAGUUUAUGAAGUUGUGUCAACAUAUCAGAUAUGUCAAGCAUCUCAAGUCUACUCUGCUAUAUUAUUAUAUUAUUUUAAUGUAACUCAUUCAUUUUUUACUACAUAUAUUCAUUAAAUAGGUUUUAUAACUUUAAUUUAUACAAUAAUAUUUUAAUUAUAUUUAAUUUUAUUAUAAUUUAAAAUAUUAAUUUAAAUAUUUCAAUUAAUAUUUUUAUACAUUAUUUUAAUUUUAAUUUUAAUUUAAAAUAAAAUUGAACUUAAGUUUUUAUAACAAUAAUAAAAAAUUUAAAAAAGAUAACAGUCAUAAAAUUAUUAUUAUUAAUAAAUUAAAAAGAAAUUAACGGUCAUAAAUUAAAAAAAGAAAGUAACGGUCAUAAAUUAAAAAAAGAAAGGAACGGUCAUAAAUUUAUUAUUAAUAAUAAAUUAAUGAAAAAGGUAAUGAUUAUAAAUUUAUUAUCAUUAAAUUUAUUAUCAUUAAAUUUAUUAUCAUUAAUUUAUAACUGUUACAUUUUUUAUUAAUUUAGUAAUAAUAAUAAUUUUAUGACCGUUAACUUUUAUUUAUUUAUUAUUGUUAUAAAAAUUUAAGUUCUAUUUUAUUUUAAAUUUAAAUAAUAUCUAAUAAUUUUAAUUGAAAUAUUUAAAUUAAUAUUUUAAGCUUUAAUAAAAUAAAAUAUAAAUAAAAUAUUAACGUAUAAAUUAAAGUUGUGAGACUUAUUUAAUGAACCUAGAGUUCACUAGUAAAAAAUGAAUAAGUUGCAUUAAGAUCAUAUUGCAGAGUGGACUUUAUUUAAUAAAUUCAUCUUGAAUUUAUCGUUAGAGAUAUUUUUAGUUGAGUUUAAUCUCUGUAGAGUUGUAGGUUUUCAAUUCUUUAUGUUAAUUUUUUUUUUAAAAUUAAAAAUAAAAUAAAGCAUUAUAUAUUUUUUAAAAUCUAGUAAGUAUUUUUUCCUUCUUCUUCGUUAAGAAACUUCUAUUCUUUAUUUAUACUUAUCCCUGGAACUCUAUAAUAUUUUUAUGUAUGAUUAAAAAAUGUAUGAUUAAGAAAUGUAUUCAAAAAUUUGUAAAUAGUUUUAUAUUUAGGAACAAAUAAAUAUACUAAGAGAGUUUUAUAAUUGAAAAAUGUUAAGAACACUUUAUUUCCAACAUUCAUUUUUUUAUUGAAUAAAAUUCAUAUGAACUCACCAAUACAAAAUAUUUCUACCAAAUACAAAAUCUCAUAGUAACACUUCUCUUUAUAAAUUAGGUGGGAGGAGUUAAGAUGGACAAAAUCUAUCAAACUACUUCCAGUUUAAUAUUUAUUUAAAGAAAAUGAUAGAAUUUAAGGCUACGGCCGUAGGCUUCGUCAUUUGUUUAUUAACACUUUUUGGUAUAUUUUUUUAAAGUAAUAUAAGUUUUUGAAAAAUGUUCCUUUCAGUUCUAUUUAUAAGUAUAAAUUAAAACGGGAGCAGUAUUUACAGUAAGAUUCACGUCCUACCAAAAAUUAUAUUCCAUGUUAAGAAUGUUUGUAUCAAAAUUCAUUCAAAUAAAUGUUACAAUAUGCCACCAUGUGUCCUUGAGGUACAAGGGACAUUUAUUAAGAGUAUAAAGAUAAAAGAAAAAGUUUAUUUUUGAAUAAGGUGAUGAUUUUAAAAAAGCUAGAGUGCUGUUAUGUGCCACUAAUUGUGUUAAUUGUUUGAUUUUUUCUAUUUUUGUUUUUGUUUUAUUUUAGUAAGUACAUAAUUUCCUAUUAUGUAUCAUUGAUUGUGUAAUCUCCUUCAAAUUUGUUAUUGAAUUUCUAUGAUUGGAAAUAGUUUUAAUUUGAUUCUAUGCAAUAAUUGUUUUAAAGUGUUAUUAUGUGUCACUAGUUAUGUUAUUGAAUUUUAGUAAGUACAUAAUUUCCUACUAUGUACCAUUAAUUGUGUAAUCUCUUUGAAAUUUGUUAUUGAAUACAUGCCUUAAAUCCCUAUGAUUUAAAAUAGUUUUAAUUUGAUCAUAUGAAAUAAUUGUUUUAAGUUUAAUGAUGUUAUGAAUUUAAUAUGAUUAUGUUACGAAUUUACUACUCAAGAAUUGAUUUUUGUAUCAUGAAUUUAAUACUUGUGAUUUGUUGAUAUUAGGAAUUUAUUACUCGUGAUUUGAAUUUUUUUUUAAUAAUUCUUUAUAUGUUAUAAAUUUAAUACUUGUGAUUUAAUGAUAUUAUGAAUUUAAUAUUAUGAAAAUAUAAAUUUACUACUCAAGAUUUGAAUCUUUGUAUGUUAUAGAUUUAAUACUCGUGAUUUAUUGACAAUAAUAAUUUAUUACCCGUGAUUUGAAUUUUUCUUUUAUAAUUAUUCAUAUGAUAUGAAUUUAAUACUUUUGAUUUAAUAACACUAUUAAUCUAAUAUUAUGACGUUAUGAAAUUUCUAUUUUAUUAUUUAAAUACGAUAGAGGGUACAAUCAUCAGAAUAUUAUUUAUUAUUUAUAUAAUUAUAAUAUGGUCUCUCAGGUAGCUGUAAAAGGAAAUAUUAAGUAUUCCCUAACUCAAAUUUAAAUGGUAUAGCCUAACUUUGAAUUUUGUUUCAAAUUCAUGGUAUUAAGUAUUACAUAAUUUUAAUUUUUAUUCCAUUUAUAUUAUAUCUAACUAAAUACUGUUAAUUUUUUAUUAAAAAUAAUAUAUUUUGAAAAAAACAAUCUCCUUUAAUUAGAUUGUUUUUUCCAAAAUAUAUUAUUUUUAAUAAAAAAUUAACAGUAUUUAAAUAUCAAAAACUGUUCAUUGACUCCAAAAUUAGAUUUUUAUAUAUUAAUCAAUGCAUUUAUUAAUAUAUAUAUAUUAAUAAAUUUUUUUGUCAUUUUCUUUAACCAUUGAAAAACAUCGAUAAUUUUUUUAUAUGCUAUCGGUACCAAUUUUGCUUUAAAUGAAUUUUGGUAAGUUUUUUUUUUUUAUUGAAAUUAAUUAAAUUUGAUUUGUUGUUUUACCGUGGUAAUUGACAUGAAAUUAAAGUAAUUUAUUUUGCAAUUUUUUAUAUUUGUUGUAUAAUUGUUUGACAAUUAAUAUUUUGUAAUUAGUUUUCAAAUUAAAAUGAUCGAGGGAGAGAACAAAAAAAUAUUUAUAUUUGAUUUUCAUUUUUUAAUAUUGGUAAAUAUAUAUAGCAUAUAAAUAUUUAGAAAUGAUGGACAAAAUAUGUUUGUUGAAUUUUGGUCAACUUUAUUUUACUGAAAUUAUUUAAAUUAAAUUUAUUGUUUUAUAGUGUUAAUUGGUAUGAAAUUAAAGUAAUUCAUUUGCAAUUAUUUAUAUUUAAUAUAUAUUUAUAAUUGUUUGAGGAUUAAUAUUUUGUAAUUGUUAUAAAUUUUGGAUUUCGAUUUUGAAACCAAAAUGUUAAUCAUUAUGAUUACUCUAUUAAUGUUAAUAACAAUUUGAAUGUUUGUAAAUUAAAAUUUUAAUAUAUCCGAUUUAAAAUAAAAAAUUUCACAAUUACCAUAAAGAUGUAUGAUUAAAAUGAUCGAAUGAGACAACGGAAAAGUAAUAAAGUAAAAUACAAAAUGAAUGUAUUUUCAAGUAUUUUACUUUAAUCAUUUUUAGUUUCAACAAUAAAGUAAUAUAUUUUGUAACUUAAUUGUAUAUCUUAAUUUCAAUUAUCAAAUAUAUUACUUCAAUAUUUAACAUAUCCAACGAUCUCAAUAUUAAUACGGUACUUUAUUUAUUCAAGUCAUUCGUCUAAAUUAGUAUUUCUCUUCUAUUAAUUAUAUUGAUAAAAUUGUAUAUUUAUUAUUGAUAUAAAUACUUAAUUAAGACAUAAAACUUCAUUUUUUUUUUCUUCUAAAUCCACAUAAAUUUAAUAAAUAAAAAUAUACCCGCGCAAUACGCGGGUUAGCAUCUAGUGUAUACUUAAUAUACUAUUAAUUGAUCUUUAAUUGACAACUAAUUUAAGAUAAACACAUAUAAAUUGGCACAAUGAGUGAAAACUAUCCUUAAGUACCUCUUGCAUGAUAACUUAAUAAUAAAUCAUGAGGUUGUGAACUGUUUAAUUUUUGUUGUUGAAAAAUGAAAACAAUGGCCUAAAUAAUAGCAGCCAUGUAAGAGUAAGAUCCAACUCAGUGUGUUACAAUUAACAAUAGUUUCUUCAUGAAUAAAAAUUGACCCUUGUAUGUGUAACAUCAUCAACCCUGACUUGGUUGUUUGUUUUCACAAUUUGUCUGCCUUUAUCCUGUAUUCCUUACUACACGUUGCUCUAAUAAUUCUUGAAAUAGAAAUUAUCCACUACAGUCACAAAUCAGUGUUUUCAAAUUUUGUGGUUCUGAGUGCACAAGAUGUGGACCCAAAAAUUUAUCUUACAGAUCUGAGUCAGUGAAAGCAUAGCCUCAAAAAUUAAGCCAAUUUUAUGAAUUAAUAAUAAAAUGUUAAUUUAUAUCUACGGGAAUCCCACAGGUACACAUGUAACACCAACAUUGGUUGCAAAUCAUAUGAAGAAUCUAACCCAUAUGUGGAUUAGAAAGGUGACAAGUGUAGCAACAAAAAUCUCAAACCUCCAAUCAGAUUUUACCUUUAGAUAACAUAAGAUAAGAGCACAAGAACUUAAUCUACAAUAUAAAUACACAUCCAUGUUAACAUGGAAACUCACCAUUCAUAGUUUACAAAAGCAUAACAAUAAGAAAGUAUUUUCUUUAUUAUUGCAAAUAUGGCCGCUUCAUCCAUGGCUCUCUCUUCACCAACCUUAGCUGGCAAGCCAGUGAAGCUGAGCCCAUCAAGCCAAGAAUUGGGAGCCUCAAAGUUCACACUACGCCAGAAAUGACAUUUAACAGCGCCCAUUUUACAACGCUUUCUAAACACAAGCGCUGUUGUAAUUAUAUUUUAAAAAUAACGGAACCUAUUACAGCGCUUUUUAUGUAAAGCGCUGUAAAACAAGCGCUGUAGUAGGUCAUAUAACGUUUGCGCAUCACGUUAUAA
rnacentral:lncRNA from 1 species